AGAAUCAACGCUGGCGGCGUGCCUAACACAUGCAAGUCGCACGAGAAAGGGGAGCAAUCCCUGAGUAAAGUGGCGCACGGGUGAGUAACACGUGAAUCAUCUACCUCCGAGUGGGGAAUAACCUAGAGAAAUCUGGGCUAAUACCGCAUAACACUUACGAGUCAAAGCAGCAAUGCGCUUGGAGAGGAGUUCGCGGCCGAUUAGCUAGUUGGCGGGGUAAUGGCCCACCAAGGCGAUGAUCGGUAUCCGGCCUGAGAGGGCGCACGGACACACUGGAACUGAAACACGGUCCAGACUCCUACGGGAGGCAGCAGUGGGGAAUUUUGCGCAAUGGGGGAAACCCUGACGCAGCAACGCCGCGUGGAGGAUGAAGUAUCUUGGUACGUAAACUCCUUUCGAUGGGGAAGAUAAUGACGGUACCCAUAGAAGAAGCCCCGGCUAACUUCGUGCCAGCAGCCGC
rnacentral:rRNA from 1 species